CAUGUCUUUUUGAAAAUAAUUUAAAGUCUAAUCUGCCCACUGAUNAAAUUAUUAAAGGGCUGCAGUAUUUUGACUGUACAAAGGUAGCAUAAUCAUUAGUCUUUUAAUUGGUGACUUGUAUGAAAGAUUGGAUGAGAUAUAAACUGUCUCUAAUUAAUUUAUAAAAUUUAAUUUUUUAGUAAAAAAGCUAAAAUAAACUUAAAAGACGAGAAGACCCUAUAGAGUUUAAUAAUUUAUUUAAUUAUUGUUAAUAUAUAAAUUUUAAAAUUAAAAUUAAAAAAAUUAUUUUGUUGGGGUGAUAGAAAAAUUAAAUUAACUUUUUUUUUAUUUUAUACAUUAAUUUAUGAAUAAAUGAUCCAUUAAUAGUGAUUAAAAGAAAAAAUUACCUUAGGGAUAACAGCGUAAUUUUUUUUUUUAGUUCAAAUAGAAAAAAGAGUUUGCGACCUCGAUGUUGGAUUAAGAUAAAAUUUAAAUGCAAAA
rnacentral:rRNA from 1 species